AACGAACGCUGGCGGCAGGCUUAACACAUGCAAGUCGAGCGCCCCGCAAGGGGAGCGGCAGACGGGUGAGUAACGCGUGGGAAUCUACCCAUCUCUACGGAAUAACGCAUGGAAACGUGUGCUAAUACCGUAUACGUCCUUGGGAGCAAGAUUUAUCGGAGAUGGAUGAGCCCGCGUUGGAUUAGCUAGUUGGUGGGGUAAAGGCCUACCAAGGCGACGAUCCAUAGCUGGUCUGAGAGGAUGAUCAGCCACACUGGGACUGAGACACGGCCCAGACUCCUACGGGAGGCAGCAGUGGGGAAUAUUGGACAAUGGGCGCAAGCCUGAUCCAGCCAUGCCGCGUGAGUGAUGAAGGCCCUAGGGUUGUAAAGCUCUUUCACCGGUGAAGAUAAUGACGGUAACCGGAGAAGAAGCCCCGGCUAACUUCGUGCCAGCCGCCGCCGUAAGAC
rnacentral:rRNA from 1 species